CCGCCCGCCCGCGUCCCCGGUGAGCGCUGGAGUGGGGUCGGGCCCGUGUGCCUGCCUCCCGCGCCCUCUCCGAAUCCCGGACUCCUAGUGAAAGGAAGGGGGAGGGCGCGGGCGCGGAAGGGAGGUGGAUCGGAGCGGCAGCGCGGCCCAGCCGAACGGGUACCGACCGUCACCCCGCGAUCUUCCUCGCAGGGGGCGCCGGCGCCCAAGCUGCUCGCCCGGAGGGCCCAGAGCCGCUUCCCAGACCAGAGCCGGGGGAGGCGCAGCCAGUAGCGAGCCCUGAGCGACCUCUCUCCCCACUCGCCCCCCUGCCCCAGUGAAUUUCUGUCAGUUGAAGGGAGCGGGGCUCUUGCCCGGGGAAAAGGAAAACAGUUCGUGGCCUGGGAUCUGGGACCCCUUGCCGCCCCCAGCGCCCCUCCCGCUCCCCGGCGCCCUUGCGGCCCAGUGGCUCCUGCGCGCCGGAGUCCGCCGCGAAGACUGAGCGGCCGCGGGGAUCGCCGCGGGCUCCGCGCGUAUUCCUGGGCUCAACACUGCCACUAUCUGACACAACAGGAGCAGUGUCGGGGGGGUACUGCGCGCCCAGACGUGAGCUGUGAUAGGCUCUCGAAACUGGGCGCAUUUUUUUUUUAACCUGAGAAUUGGACACUUGAUGAAGGGAAGGACACGGAGAGAUGACAAACGCAGACUGGCAUGCAGUUGUUUUCAGGGUGGGAAGAACAAAGUGGAAUGUCUUCAGUUCUUACAAAAUAUGGUGGCAUUUGUAAUCUCUGAGUUUUUGUAUUUGGCCUACAAAGGGGGUCUUUUCAGGGAAACACGAAUGGAACCCUUCAGAGACAUGUCUACAUUGUAAAACAAUAUAGGAUAGAUACGGAUUCGGGAAGGUCUGCAAAUGGUUCCGCUCAAAGAACUUGGGGUAAAGUUGACCGAGGACUCGGAUUCUGAGAGGACUCCUAUCACGUUCUUCAUGAGAGUUUUAGGCUAUUUGGACUGAGGAAUGAUUUGGAGGUACGUCGGGGGCAUUCCCUCACUGAGGCCAUCAGUGGCUGCCUCCCUGCAUUGGCUGCUGGUUUGAGUUCCUUCACAGAACUUCUUCGUCAAGUUUUUCAUAGGAACGCUGCAGUGAAGUGGAGUGAAAGAGACUGGGGAUUGAAGGGUGAACCCCUUCCAGCCCCAAUCCCAUCCCGAUUCCUGUCUGGAUGCAGAUUCAGUCUGACUCAGAACGGAUAGUUCACCCUUUUACUGAUCCAAGUGCUCUGUCCUCUUUUUUUCAGAGGAAUGUUCUGACUGGCUACAAACUUUUCUUCUGUCACUGCAGGACCUCCCGUGGAGCAAUUUUCGAUAGGUCUUCUACUAUGCUUUUUUACCGCGUCAUUGUUAUUGCUGAGAAAAUAAUGCUUAGUUAGGAAAAAAAAUAGCAGAGCAUAUGAGCUGAUGAUAGAAGUAGAGAUCAAGGCACAGAAUACAAUAUCAAAACAACUAUUCUCUGUAAUCAAAUGACCUUUCUCAUUUGCUUGUACACCCAGAUUUCUGAAAUCCUACACCAAAGUCCACAGAGAACUAAGAUAGCAUGUGGCCUAUUCCCCGCGCUUUUCCAGUGGAGAAAGUAGCCCCAGAAAUCAGAAGGGUUUGUCCACAAGCAUAUGGCUGUCUGAUGUCAUCCAAACCAGAACUAAAGCCUAUUGCCCUAGUCGUUUCCCUUCUAUAACCUAGGCGUAUUUACAGAGUCUUCCUUCCUGUGGUGUUGUGUGGAUUAGAAAAGUAGCUAAGAAAAGCACAUACCUUAUUAAAAUUCACUGCAAUAGAUGAUAAGUCUGUAGAAUUAUAGUGCAGUAGAAGUUUACCUGUGAGAUCAUCUAUUAGAAUCCCAUCUUUUUAAAACUGAGGAAACGAUGCACUACCCCAAGCCACUAAGUUAAUUCAAAGCCAGGAAUAGAUGCUAUGUUCCUUGACUUCUUAUCCAACGUUCCUUCCUUGUAUGUAGCCCAUCUCUGAAUCAUGAGAGGGGAGAGGAGAGAAAGGAAAGGAGGGAUAUUCUCACUCUCUUACAUAUAUAUGAAAAAAUAUAUAUGCCUCUGUGUGUGUGUGUGUGUGUGUGUGUGUACACACACCCAUAAUAAUGUUUCAGUGAACAACAGACCACAUAUAUUACUGUGAUCCCAUAUAAUAUAAUACUGUAUUUUUGCUGUACAUUUUCUGUGUUUAGAUACACAAAUACUUACCAUUGUGUUACAUUUGCCCACAGUAUUUAGUACAGUAAUAUUCUGUACAGGUUUGCAGCCUAGAAGCAAUAGGCUACCCCAUAUAGCCUGAGUGUGCAGUAGCCUAUAUCAUCUAGAUUUGUGUAAGUGCACUCCAUGAUGUUUGCACAAAGUCGCCUACUGAUGUAUUUCUCAGAACACCUCCCCAUAAGCUAAUUGACGCAUGAUUG
rnacentral:lncRNA from 10 species